GCAUGGCUUUUGCACAAAUACAGAGAUUUUUUUUUUUUUUUUGCUUUCAUCAUCAGCAGUGGCUUUGUGGACAAGUCAGUCUCCGGUGACAGAGAUCAUGAGUGGAAUGCUGCUUCAAUGGCACCUGAAAGCUUAAUCUUCCUUUGGAGGGAAGUACUGUGUGUUAUUUCUCUAUUUCUGACCAGAUUAUGCACCUGUUGUAAGAAAGUGAAUCAAAGACAAGGUGAUGAAAAAGGAAAGAGUUGCAUUUGGAUGAGAGAUCAGUCACAGAGACUGAAAGUGACAGCCCUAUUGCAUUUGUUUGUGGACUUUGGAGACAGGCAGAAAGGAUAAGCAAUUGACAAGGAGAAGAGACCGACCAUGAUGUAGAAAAGAGAUGCCUUUAGGCCUGGGUCCAAGAAAGACUGACUGGAGUCCAAGCCAACAAUAGCCCCAAGCCUGUCCUUCUUUUCAACCACUGCAGUGUUCCCUCUGGUCUCAUCAAAAACAGAUGGGAAAUAUAUUGCAGAUCAUUCACCUAAUUAAGAAGGGGUUCACUUUCUUUUAUGUCCAGUAAGG